rnacentral:rRNA from 1 species
UACGUAGGGGGCAAGCGUUGUCCGGAUUUAUUGGGCGUAAAGAGCGUGUAGGCGGUUUGGUAGGUCCGCUGUGAAAACUCGAGGCUCAACCUCGAGACGCCGGUGGAAACCAUCAGACUAGAGUCCGGAAGAGGAGAGUGGAAUUCCUGGUGUAGCGGUGAAAUGCGCAGAUAUCAGGAAGAACACCCGUGGCUAAGGCGGCUCUCUAGGACGGUACUGACGCUGAGACGCGAAAGCGUGGGGAGCGAACAGG